rnacentral:lncRNA from 1 species
CUGUGUCCUUUAGUCAGAAAUCCUGGGGUUAUAGAGACUUUUCAAGGAACAGCCCAGAUCUCAUCUUCGAUCUUGAGUCAAAGCUGUCCUUUGAGGGAUUCUAACCAUCCCUGGAUUCCUCUGAGGCACUAUUUGUCAAGUCGUUUUUCCCCUCCAAGCCUCUUUCAUUUAGGCAGCCACAUCUUCCCCACAGGCACCCAUUCCUCAUUUUCAAAUCUCCCUGCCUCUCUCGCCUCCAGCUGGUUCCUGAACUUUGGUCCAGCACUUCCAAAGGCACCUCCACCCUCCAGCAAGCCAUCCUGCCCUGUGUCCUGUUUCCCAGCUGAAGUUUGGCUUCUCCAUCCCUCACUCUUCUCCACCUCCAGCUCCUCUCAUGCUCUUCCCCAGGGUGCAGCAGGUUCUCACAACUAGGAUAACAUGGAGAACUUAACAAAGAGGAGGAAGAAGAAGAGAAAUUUUAAAACUCAAGCUGAGCCCAGCCCCAUCAGAAAGAACUGGUCCUGAGGCUCCAAGGACUAGACGUGCCUGUGACAUUUGCCCACUAGGCAUAGUGUGUAUGUGCGUGCUGAGUUGCUCCAGUCGUGUCUGACUCUUUUCCACCCUAUGCCCCAGGCUCCUCUGCCCUAUUCCCGACCCAGAGGUCAAACCCAUGUCUCUCUACAUCUCCAGCAUUGGCAGGCGGGUUCCUUACCACUAGCGCCACCUGGGAAGUUCCACUAGACUCAGUGGAACCACGGAAGCCCCAUCUGAGAGAAUCAGCCCAUCAGAAGGCACUCAGGUGAGCUGGGUCUUUCUGUCACUGAGACCACCCCAGGCCCUGAGGAUUUGCAUGACUUAAAGUCACACAGAAGCCCCAGUACCUGCACAGUAAGGCUCUUCCCUGAGGAGAAGCCUGGAAAAGAGUUGCAAAAGUGGGAUGGGGCGGGGAGAGGAGUAGCAAAGCUGUAGAAAGGAUCGAGGGACAGCAAAGGUGGGGAGACAGCAUCAGGUGGCCUCCGGAUGAGAGCGAUGGCAUGUGAGGUAUGGGUGGGGCCAGAUAAGAAGGUAUGAAGGAAAGAUUACAGGGGGGAUUGGCGGUUCUGUGGAACCUGUGGGGAAGGGGCUCCUCCUCUCUUCUCCAGGGUGAGCUUGAAAAGGAUAAGGAAUGGUGACUGAGAGCUCACUGGGUGCUACUUUACAUACCUUUAAUCCUAUGAGGGAGGUUGAGUAAUUUGCUCAAAAUUCCACAGUUAUUAAUUGAUGCAGCCAACUUUCAACCUCAGAUCUGACUUCUAGAUGCCUGGCUGUCUUCCGUGAGAUGAGCCUAAGGGCCUUCCCAGCUCCACACCUGUACAAGGGGUGCACUGAGAGAGGAGAGAAGGGGAGAAAAACGGCAGUGCGAGGAGAUGAGGGAAGAAGGGAGCAACCAAGAUAUGGAAAAAGAAGAGAACAGGAAGGGGAUAGGAAAGAUAAGAGACUAAAAAAGGAUGGGGAGUGAGGAGGAAAGGGGCAAGGUAAGGGGGAACAACAGGAAAGGAAGAACCAGGAGAGGAAAAAAGAUGGAGCCGUAGUGGAACAGAAGGUUGAGCCAGAGGAAGGGGGAGAGGGAUUGGGGUAGGGUCUUGGAGGAGUCAGAAUCACCUGGAGUAUAAGCCUAGGAGCUGAAGGAAAAGGGCUGGAGUUUAGUAGGUGUUUGUGGUUUUGUUUUGUUUUUUUUCCUUGCUGUGAAAGUAUGGAGUGUGGGGAUCAUUGCCUAUGGAGCUGUCAACAGACUAGUCAGCUCAGCCAAGUGUCUGUUGGAGGGAAACUGGAACUGAGGUCAGACUCCUCAUGGCCUCUAUUGUGGGUGUCUCAGAUCCUACAUUUGAUCUUAAAAUUGUAAACUCGGAAAAGCAGAUUUUUCUUUUUCUUUUUGGUUUUUGCUGAGGCCCUGGGCUUCAGUCCCUAAAAGGAGUUAUUGGAGGAGGAAGGCAUUCCAGAAAGGAAAGAGCAAUAGAAUAUAAGUAACAAAAGGGAAUGAAAGAGGGCUUCCCUGGUGGUCCAGUGGUUAAGCAUCUGCCUGCCAAUGCACAGGGCACAGGUUCGAUCCCUGAUCCAGGAAGAUCCCACAUGUCUUGGAGCAACUAAGCCAUGAGCCACAGCUACUGAAGCCCAACAGCCUAGAGCUUGUGCUCCACAGCAAGAGAAACCACCGCGAUGAGAAGCCUGCCCACCACAGUGAAGAGCAGCCCCAACUCACUGCAACUGGAGAAAGCCUGGGUGUAGCAACGAAGACCCAGCACAGCCAAAAAAUAAAUUAAAACAAAACAAAAAAAAGGAAUGAAAG